CUUCAAGAGAUAUGCAAUAUAGCCAUACUGCAAGAUGGUUUUGCUGUGCAAUGCCGUAAAAGGUGCUACUCUAUAAUGUCAAUGAGUCAACACAAACAUUUGCUUCUUUUAGCUAUACAACUGCGACAGUGUGGUACAAGCCUAUUUUUUUUGAAGAACCACCGUUUGGCGGGAAGGUUUUGCAUAUGGAAACCGCUUAUGGAAAAAUGCGGCUCUGUGAAAACAAGGAGUCCUUGGCUCGAUAUCACGCAGCCGUGCAUUUCACUGUUGGAAAUAUUAUCGAGGACUGUCCGUCUUUUUCGCAACCAGUAGACGUCAAGAAAUUCGAUCGUCAGACAAUUGCCGCCAUUGCCGAGAUCGUUUUCCGAAAGUGAGACGCCAUUAAUGGAUAGUUCCCAUGAAGCUGUAUGCACAGCAUAUGAGAAACUAAAAUUACAGCAUUGAAAAAAACGUUGCAAUCGGGUUCACGAACAUAACACCCUUUCGCGCGCCCUAUAAUAGGCAGAAUCGGCAUAUUGGCAAGAGAUCUUGAGGCGUUUGCCAAGCAUGCCAAGAGAACUAAGGUUACCACAGACGAUGUAAUACUUUGCGCGCGUCGAAACCCUUUUCUUGCUAAAAAGUUAAGGGAUUAUGCCAAUAGAGUGAAGGACGAAAAACAGGAUAAGUUACCGAACGGAGGCUUAGCUGCUCUCGGAGCAGCUGUUGCCGCGGCUGUACCAGCAGGAAGUGGGGCGUCAAAGAAUAUAAAGCAACGAAUAAACGUAGGUGAGGUCAUUGAUCUCAGCCAACUUGAAUAACUACAGCAUAUGAGAAAAUUUCUCAUGUAUAGAUUUGCCUUCAGCGGGAAUUAUGCCGAAGUGUUGUAAAGCGUAACGUGGACAGUAUAUGACACGUUUUACUAUGUGUUCAUGUUUGCGAAGCCGGAACGAUGUAAAUAAAUGAUUUGGGUAUGACGCAAAGAUAUAGUUCAAUAAUCUAAAUUUCAUGCCACGCUGAAGCUUGCUCUUUGUUUGUUCUAUUGUUGUUUCUAAUAAAAAACCGUUACAAGUAUUCACUCGUGCUCCAUUCGUCCAUGAGCAUAUUAUGGACAUAAAUAGUGGAGUUCUAUAACGAUUUUAAUUCAAUCUUUCGAAAGCAACGUAGAUGGGUUUUAACGGGCGAAUGCAUUGUCUACCGGGAUCAUGCAUUAAAACACUGAUUAUACUCAUAUUUUUUUCCUGAUUGAUUGAGUGUUGUCGAUAUCUCACAACAACUCGAAACCUCAGUCUGUAACAUUGCAACAAAAGGGCAAUUAUUAAUAUAAUAUGAUAGUUUUGAUAGCUUGAUUGAUUUAAUAGAAUUAAUUUGAUGUAACUAUACAAUUUCAUUGUAUUCGUGUACCUCACUUCAAUAAAUACUCAUUGGU